rnacentral:rRNA from 1 species
CCUACGGGAGGCUGCAGUGAGGAAUAUUGGUCAAUGGGCGCGAGCCUGAACCAGCCAAGUAGCGUGAAGGAUGACUGCCCUACGGGUUGUAAACUUCUUUUAUAAAGGAGUAAAGUGAGGCACGUGUGCCUUUUUGUAUGUACUUUAUGAAUAAGGAUCGGCUAACUCUGUGCCAGCCGCCGCGGUAAUACGGAGGAUCCGAGCUUUAUCCGGAUUUAUUGGGUUUAAAGGGCGCGUAGAUGGGUUGUUAAGUCAGUUGUGAAAGUUUGCGGCUCAACCGGAAAAUUGCAAUUGAUACUGGCAGUCUAGAGUGCAGUUGAGGUAGGCGGAAUUCGUGGUGUAGCGGUGAAAUGCUUAGAUAUCACGAAGAACUCCGAUGGCGAAGGCAGCUUACUAAACUGCCACUGACAUUGAUGCUCGAAAGUGUGGGUAUCAAACAGGAUUAGAUACCCUGGUAGUC